UACGUAGGGUGCGAGCGUUGUCCGGAAUUACUGGGCGUAAAGAGCUCGUAGGCGGUUUGUCGCGUCGUCUGUGAAAUCCCGCAGCUCAACUGCGGGCUUGCAGGCGAUACGGGCAGACUUGAGUACUGCAGGGGGAGACUGGAAUUCCUGGUGUAGCGGUGAAAUGCGCAGAUAUCAGGAGGAACACCGGUGGCGAAGGCGGGUCUCUGGGCAGUAACUGACGCUGAGGAGCGAAAAGCGUGGGGUAGCGAACAGG
rnacentral:rRNA from 1 species